GGUUCCGGUCCUGGUAGAAGUGCAGGUGAUUGUCCCUGACAGAGCACCAGCGAGACUUCCACUGGCUGUUCACCAGCACGUUCAGUGGCCAAGGAAUAAAUGAGACAAUGAAAAAUGGCCCCUCCUGAGUCACUCUGGAAUCUGGAAGGACUGUGGGCUAUUUCUCCAUGUGGGAUGACCUGUGCCUUCUGGAGAGUUGACACUGCAAAAUCUGAAAAUGGCUCACUAUGCAGAGGCAGUGCAGGGCAGGAGUGGAGUCCGAUCUCCAGAACCAGGCUUGCAUUCUGACACUGGGACAUUCUUGCUGUGUGACUCUGACCAAUUCACUCGACCUCUCUGGACUUGGCAUAAGAUGGGGAGAAGAGAAAUAUCUGUCACAUGGGGUUGCUGUAAGGAUUGAAGUGUGCCUAUCACUACUCAAUAUUCAAUACAUACUAGUUUUUACUAAUCUAAAAAAU